GACGAGGUGGCCGAGUGGUUAAGGCGAUGGACUGCUAAUCCAUUGUGCUCUGCACGGUCGGGCUUCUAAUCCCAUCCUCGUCG